rnacentral:rRNA from 1 species
GUAGGUGGCAAGCGUUGUCCGGAAUUAUUGGGCGUAAAGCGCGCGCAGGCGGUUCUUUAAGUCUGAUGUGAAAGCCCACGGCUCAACCGUGGAGGGUCAUUGGAAACUGGAGAACUUGAGUACAGAAGAGGAAAGCGGAAUUCCACGUGUAGCGGUGAAAUGCGUAGAGAUGUGGAGGAACACCAGUGGCGAAGGCGGCUUUCUGGUCUGUACUGACGCUGAGGCGCGAAAGCGUGGGGAGCAAACAGGAUUAGAUACCCUGGUAGUCCACGCCGUAAACGAUGAGUGCUAAGUGUUAGGGGGGUUUUCCGCCCCCCUUAGUGCUGCAGCUAACGCAUUAAGCACUCCGCCUGGGAGUACGGCCGCAAGGCUG